rnacentral:rRNA from 1 species
UACGUAGGGCGCAAGCGUUGUCCGGAAUUAUUGGGCGUAAAGAGCUCGUAGGCGGUUUGUCGCGUCUGCUGUGAAAACCUAAGGCUCAACCUUGGGCUUGCAGUGGGUACGGGCAGACUAGAGUGCGGUAGGGGUGACUGGAAUUCCUGGUGUAGCGGUGAAAUGCGCAGAUAUCAGGAGGAACACCGGUGGCGAAGGCGGG